AGAGCGAACGCUGGCGGCAGGCUUAACACAUGCAAGUCGAGCGGGCGUAGCAAUACGUCAGCGGCAGACGGGUGAGUAACGCGUGGGAACGUACCUUUUGGUUCGGAACAACCUAGGGAAACUUGGGCUAAAUACCGGAUAAGCCCUUACGGGGAAAGAUUUAUCGCCGAAAGAUCGGCCCGCGUCUGAUUAGCUAGUUGGUGAGGUAAUGGCUCACCAAGGCGACGAUCAGUAGCUGGUCUGAGAGGAUGAUCAGCCACAUUGGGACUGAGACACGGCCCAAACUCCUACGGGAGGCAGCAGUGGGGAAUAUUGGACAAUGGGCGCAAGCCUGAUCCAGCCAUGCCGCGUGAGUGAUGAAGGCCCUAGGGUUGUAAAGCUCUUUUGUGCGGGAAGAUAAUGACGGUACCGCAAGAAUAAGCCCGGCUAACUUCGUGCCAGCAGCCGC
rnacentral:rRNA from 1 species